rnacentral:rRNA from 1 species
UACGGGGGGGGUAAGCGUUGUUCGGAAUUACUGGGCGUAAAGGGCUCGUAGGCGGCCAACUAAGUCAGACGUGAAAUCCCUCAGCUUAACUGGGGAACUGCGUCUGAUACUGGAUGGCUUGGAUUUGGGAGAGGGAUGCGGAAUUCCAGGUGUAGCGGUGAAAUGCGUAGAUAUCUGGAGGAACACCGGUGGCGAAGGCGGCGACCUGGGCCAAUACUGACGCUGAGGUGCGAAAGCGUGGGGAGCAAACAGG